rnacentral:rRNA from 1 species
UGGGGAAUAUUGCGCAAUGGGGGGAACCCUGACGCAGCCAUGCCGCGUGAAUGAAGAAGGCCUUCGGGUUGUAAAGUUCUUUCGGUAUUGAGGAAGGUUGAUGUGUUAAUAGUACAUCAAAUUGACGUUAAAUAAAAAAAAAACCCCGGGUAAUUCCGCGGUCACAGCCGGGGUAUGAGGAGGGGANGGCGCUAAUGUUAAUNGAAUUAACUGGGCGUAAAGGGCACGCAGGCGGUUAUUUAAGUGAGGUGUGAAAGCCCCGGGCUUAACCUGGGAAUUGCAUUUCAGACUGGGUAACUAGAGUACUUUAGGGAGGGGUAGAAUUCCACGUGUAGCGGUGAAAUGCGUAGAGAUGUGGAGGAAUACCGAAGGCGAAGGCAGCCCCUUGGGAAUGUACUGACGCUCAUGUGCGGAAGCGUGGGGAGCAAACAGGAUUAGAUACCCUGGUAGUCCACGCUGUAAACGCUGUCGAUUUGGGGGUUGGGGUUUAACUCUGGCGCCCGUAGCUAACGUGAUAAAUCGACCGCCUGGGGAGUACGGCCGCAAGGUUA